rnacentral:rRNA from 1 species
AACGCGAAGAACCUUACCUACGCUUGACAUACCAGGACGAUUUCCAGAGAUGGAUUUCUUCCCUCAAGGGACUUGGAUACAGGUGCUGCAUGGCUGUCGUCAGCUCGUGUCGUGAGAUGUUGGGUUAAGUCCCGCAACGAGCGCACCCCUCGUCGUAUGUUGCCAUCAGGUCAUGGGGGGCACUCAUGCGAGACUGCCGGUGACAAGCCGGAGGAAGGGGGGGAUGACGUCAAGUCAUCAUGGCCCUUACGCGUAGGGCUACAAACGUGCUACAAUGGUGGUGACAAUGGGUCGCAAGGUCGUGAGGGCAAACCAAUCUCAAAAAGCCAUCUCAGUUCGGAUUGUACUCUGCAACUCGAGUACAUGAAGUUGGAAUCGCUAGUAAUCGUAAAUCAGCACGUUACGGUGAAUACGUUCCCGGGUCUUGUACACACCG